rnacentral:rRNA from 1 species
UACGUAGGGUGCAAGCGUUAAUCGGAAUUACUGGGCGUAAAGCGUGCGCAGGCGGCUCCUUAAGUCAGAUGUGAAAGCCCCGGGCUUAACCUGGGAACUGCGUUUGAAACUGGGGAGCUAGAGUGUAGAAGAGGGGGGUGGAAUUCCAGGUGUAGCAGUGAAAUGCGUAGAGAUCUGGAGGAACACCGAUGGCGAAGGCAGCCCCCUGGGCUAACACUGACGCUCAUGCACGAAAGCGUGGGGAGCGAACAGG